UAGGGAAUCUUCGGCAAUGGACGAAAGUCUGACCGAGCAACGCCGCGUGAGUGAAGAAGGUUUUCGGAUCGUAAAACUCUGUUGUUAGAGAAGAACAAGGACGUUAGUAACUGAACGUCCCCUGACGGUAUCUAACCAGAAAGCCACGGCUAACUACGUGCCAGCAGCCGCGGUAAUACGUAGGUGGCAAGCGUUGUCCGGAUUUAUUGGGCGUAAAGCGAGCGCAGGCGGUUUCUUAAGUCUGAUGUGAAAGCCCCCGGCUCAACCGGGGAGGGUCAUUGGAAACUGGGAGACUUGAGUGCAGAAGAGGAGAGUGGAAUUCCAUGUGUAGCGGUGAAAUGCGUAGAUAUAUGGAGGAACACCAGUGGCGAAGGCGGCUCUCUGGUCUGUAACUGACGCUGAGGCUCGAAAGCGCGGGGAGCAAACAGG
rnacentral:rRNA from 1 species